AUCAUUUAUGUGCGGAGAGUGCUUUUUACUGUUCCCAACAACAGAAGAAUUCAAUGCCCAUAAUUGCCAGGAAUCCCAAGUAGGAGGAGUGCAAAGUAUUGUUGAACAAGAUGUCAGCUGCCAGGAACCAGUUACGGGACAUCUUGAUGUUCCUGAAAGUAAUCCUUGACCAUGGGACAACAAAUCAAGUCGUUUGCUUAUUAAUUUGGUAAAAGAAUAUCCUAAAGCUUAUUUCAUCCUUGAUAAAGAAUGUAAACGCACAGAAGCCUGGGAGAUGAUAAGAAACAAAAUGUCAGAAGCUGGAUACCAGUUCACAGUUCUUCAGAUUCGCAUGCGAUGGAGGGAACUUGUUAAAACAUAUAGAACAACAAUUAAUUACAAUGACAUGCACAACGUCCGAAGAUAUUGUCAGUAUUUUGAAGAACUGACUGAUUUGUUUGGUG